AUGGUGGAGGUCGCGGGGAUGAUUGCGAGUGCGGUGGGGAAUCAAGUUGCUAGCAAGCUGGGCGAGCUCGUGAAAGACGAGAUCGCUCUGCUGUGGGGGUUCAAGGAUGAUGUGGACGGCCUGAGGGAGAAGAUGGAGGACCUCCAGGCCGUGCUGCUUGAUGCCGAUGAGAAGAUGCGCCGAGGAGACACAGAAGGAAAAGCCGUUGGGCGGUGGUUGACCAAGUUCAAGGACGUCGCCUACGACGUUGAGGACGUGCUGGACGACUUGGACGCUACCGCACUCGUCGAGAAAACCCAGUCAAAGGUCAAGUUAUUCUGUUGUGGGAGCGAUCAGCUCCUCCAACGGUCGACCAUAGCCCACAGUAUGAAGACCGUGAGGAAGAAAAUACACAAAAUAGAAAUGGAGGGCCAGAAACUUAAUCUUGUGCCUCAUGUGACAAGGGCAGAAGGGAGCAGAAACAAGGAAACAUUUGCAGCCAGCAGUAAUGAAGGCAUGAAAACUGGAAUGGUGGGGAGGGACAUCGAGAAAGACAAAAUAAUCAGCCUACUAUUGACAAGUGAAGCUAAUGAGGAUAUCUCCAUCAUUCCAAUUAUUGGGCUUGCUGGUCUAGGAAAGUCAACAUUGGCUGAAUCGGUUUUGGCAGAUAAGAGCAUCAAUGUCUUUGACGUCCAAGUCUGGGUUCAUGUGUCUGAUCAGUUUGAUUUACACAAAAUUGGGAGUGCCAUCAUGAAAAGCAUAAAUGGUAGUAUCAACCUUGAUAACUGUACUUUGCAGUUUCUACAUGAUAAUCUGAAAAAAGAACUUGCUACUACAAGAUACUUGAUUGUUCUGGAUGACCUCUGGGAAGAAGAUGGAGAUAAACUGGAAGAAUUGAAGCGGAUGUUACAAUAUGGCUGCAAGGGUAGCAGGAUUGUAGUAACUACCCGAAACCAAAGUGUAGUGAAAGCACUAAGCACUGGUUUUCUUGCAAAAGAAGGUAAAUUUUGCACAGUACCUGAGUCUGACCAAAUCAGUUUGGGCGUUCUAUUACCCGAUGACUGUUGGGAACUAAUGAAGCAAAGGGCACUUGGACCUAGUGAUGACCAAAGUGGUUUGCAAGAAAUUGGAAGGCAAAUUGCAAUGAAGUGUGGGGGAAUACCGCUCGUGGCAAAUGCUCUUGGGCAAGUAAUGUUUAAGUUAAGGACUCUCAAGGCCUGGGAAGAUAUAAGGGACACCAAGGUUGAUUUAGGUUUGAGAGAAAACAAGACAUUGGAGUGUCUCAUGCUUAGCUAUAACUACAUGAAGAUUGAAUUCAAAAUGUGUUUCACAUAUUUGGCGGCCUUCCCCAAGGGUUUUGUGGUGGAGAAAUACCGUCUAAUCCAGCAAUGGAGUGCUCUUGGAUACAUUCAGACAGAGGAUGAUGGUGAAAGGUGUAUCAACUAUCUUCUCGGAAUGUCAUUUCUUCAUAUUUCAAGGUCAUCCUUGGUUAGUCCAGGUCCGGCGCAUGCCAGAACUUCUCACAAGCUCACCAUGCAUGAUUUGGUGCAUGAUCUUGCAUCAAUAAUUGCUUCCAAUGAAUUCCUUGUUUUAGAUGCUAAUUCCACUGAACCAAGGGGUUGGAAUAGAGCUCGUUACUGCCGACAUGCACGGCUGGUUAACUACCAGGAUCAACCCAAAGUUUUCAGAGAUCUGCCAACCAUGGCUAGAUCCCUCCAUUUUAGCUAUUCAGCAAAACUGGAACUUCCCCAAAUGGCAUUUGCUCAAACCAAGUACAUACGUGUGUUGGACUUCAGCGGACAUUCAGUUGGGAGGCAGUCUACUUCAAGCAACUUAGACCUUAGUGGAAGUUCAGUUGAGGGGCAAUCCACUUCAAGCAGCGUAAUGAUGCCAUCAUCCAUUCAUAAAUCAAAGCUACUUAGGUACCUUGAUGCCACAUCCUUGCCAAUUACUUCACUUCCAAAGUCUUUCCACACACUAAAAUACAUGCAAACUUUAAUUCUAUCCAAAUGCUCACUUGAAACAUUGCCUGAUAAUAUCUCUAGCCUCAACAAGCUUUGCCAUUUGGACCUAUCUGGCAAUCUCAGCCUUAAUAAGCUCCCUGGAUCACUGGGGAAGCUCUCUAAACUCUCUUUCCUCAAUCUAUUGGGGUGUUCCAUGCUCCAAGAGUUGCCGGAGUCCAUCUAUGAGCUGAUAUGUUUACGGCACCUAGACAUGUCUGAGUGUCAUGCCAUUAAAAAACUCCCUGAUAAAUUUGGCACCCUUUUGAAACUCAUAUUCCUAAACUUGUCAGGUUGUUCCAAGAUAACCAAACUACCUGACAAUCUUACACUUCAGUCUUUAGAGCAUAUGAACCUAUCAAAUUGCCACGAGCUAGAAAGCCUACCAAACAGUUUUGGCAACCUUCAAAAGCUUGUGUUCUUGAGCCUCUCCGACUGCUACAAAGUUUCGUUGCUGCCCGAAUCCUUUUGCAAACUUAUACAUUUGGAAUUCUUAGAUCUUUCAGAUUGCCAUGACCUCAUGGAACUUCCUGAAUAUUUUGGUAACCUUUUUGAGCUUGACUCUCUGAACCUAACAAGCUGUUGCAAGCUGCAAGUACUGCCAGACUCAUUCUGCAAGUUGCUUAAGUUGAGGCAUCUCAAUUUGUCAUACUGCGUGAGGCUUGAAAUUCUCCCAUCCUGGUUAGGUGGCCUCAUGCUCCAAUUCUUGCACAUCUCUGGUACAAAUAUACUUGAUUUACCAGAUAGCAUCCGUGACAUGACUACACUCACUCAAUUUGUAGCCAUGUUAACAUACCCAAAUGUGUUUGACAAGGCUCAGGACAUUAAAAAACAUCUAAAUUUGCCAGAGAGAAUAGUUCAUAAGGUACAUCAGAUAAAAAAUAGAGGAUGCAGCAGUAUUGUGGAGUUAGCACAGUUGACUUGCCAUGAGCUCGAAGUUGCAGAACUUCAAAAUGUUAGUAAUUCAGAAGAUGCAGAGAGAGCUAAGCUGCGUGAUAAAUCAGAUCUUCAGUUGCUAGAUCUUAGCUGGGAAGGACAAGGAGAGGAGGGAAAAUCUGUGCUGGAGAGGCUCAUACCUCCUCGAACUCUGGAACACUUAUUUCUAUCGGGGUAUAUGAGCACGGAUUUCCCUAACUGGAUGUCUCACGUGUCCACCUACCUUCCUUUGCUCAUCGACCUCUCCCUUUAUAAUUUAGGAACAUGUGAUAAUCUUCCUCCAUUUGGGCAACUGCCAAAUUUACGAAAUCUAUUCAUGGAGAAUAUUCCUAACAUCAGAAAAAUUGGCAAGGAAUUCUAUGGAGGUGGAGGUUGUACAAAAUUAAGAUAUAUAAAGUUGAGGUCGAUGGAUAAUUUGGCGGAAUGGUGGACAACACAUUCAGGUAAAAACAAUGAAGAGUUCUUAAUCCCUAAUUUGCAUAGUUUGGAAGUAACGCACUGCCCCAAGUUGAAGUUCCUACCAUAUCCCCCAAGGAGUAUGUUUUGGCGCUUGAAUAACAGCACCAUGGUUUUGCCAGAAGGGGGUUUUGGGAAGCUUUUGUCUUCUGCUCUUCCUUUUGAGUUGGUAACAUUCAACUGCAAUUUUUCUCCAGUCAAGUGGGAUAGGCUUCGGCAUCUCCCCACCCUUAAGACAAUUGAAGUUAUUUCCUGCAACGGCUUGAGGGAGUUGCCAGAAGCCAUGCAAUGCUUAACGUCUCUCCGAAAGCUACUUUUAUCUUCGUUGAAGGACCUGAUGACACUGCCAGAAUGGUUGGGGAAUCUCACUUCUCUAGAACAUUUUUACAUCAAAGAUUGUCCCUUAGUGACAUCUUUACCUGAAAGCAUGAAGAAUCUUACUGCUCUCAGAGAACUAUGGUUGGGAGAUUGCAAAGACCUAGAUAUUUUGCCAGGAUGUCUAGGACAACUCAUCUCCCUUGAAAAAUUAACUAUCAAAGAUUGCCCCAACCUUACAAGUUUGCCUGAAAGCAUGGAGAACCUUACCUCUCUCAGAGAACUUUGGAUAAAGGAGUGCAACGGCCUAGAUGUGUUACCUGAAGGGCUGGGACAACUCACUUCCCUACAAGAAUUUAACAUCGUCAACUGCCCCAACCUCACAUGUUUGCCUGAAAGCAUACAGAACCUUACCGCCUUGAAGGAACUCUACAUUUGGGGAUGCCCAAAUCUGGCUGAGAAGCUCCGAGGAGAGAACGCCCAGAAGAUUUCUCACAUCCCGGUUGUCAAAGUAAAUGGUGAGCCGCUGUCGACUUUUCUGGCACACAGGAGAGCUAGAGGAACUCUAGCAGAGCAGUUGGGUUCUGUUUUCCACAAACUCUGGCCUGAUCCAGUGACAACAACAAGGAGGCACGAGCAGGCCCACAUAUUUCUGAAAAUCAAGUCAUUUUUUGUUAAUUUACACAUUUUCAACUGUACCCGCGUUGCCAGGAAUUUUUCUUCAUGUUUGGAGAGAGGGGAUGCGGUUGAAGAAUGA
rnacentral:rRNA from 1 species